UACGUAGGGUGCAAGCGUUAAUCGGAAUUACUGGGCGUAAAGCGUGCGCAGGCGGUUCUAUAAGACAGAUGUGAAAUCCCCGGGCUCAACCUGAGAACUGCAUUUGUGACUGUAGAGCUGGAGUACGGCAGAGGGGGAUGGAAUUCCGCGUGUAGCAGUGAAAUGCGUAGAUAUGCGGAGGAACACCGAUGGCGAAGGCAAUCCCCUGGGCCUGUACUGACGCUCAUGCACGAAAGCGUGGGGAGCAAACAGG
rnacentral:rRNA from 1 species